AUACAGGUUCUGGUUGGCAGAUCACAAACAUCCACGGACCUAGUAAUAAGUAGAAAAUACUAGACAGACAUAACAGACUCCUGUAUUCAUCCGUCCCCCAUUGUUGCAAGUGAAAACACACAAAUCCCUAAAGACGAACUCGUCUCAGCAGUACAGCUACACUCUUGUGGCUUACAGCCCAUGUAUACUGUGUGAUACAUGUAUUAUCAGGGAGGCUAUUACCAGCUAUACACUCAGAUGAACAGUGGGAGAAAGCUGAACAAAACAAGCAUUACGACACCAUAGCAGAAGGAAAGAAGAUCGGGAUUCAACUAUUGAUCGCCACUUAACCUAAAAAACAGUGUGAUGAGAGAUCCUAGCAUAGAGGUGGCCAGCAAGCACUGGCUGGCCGCUGCCUCCUUUGCCACUGCUGACGACAACGUAAGGCCUACGCAACUCUGGAGGUGGCAAUUACACACUCGGGGAAGAGAGAAACUUACUGGGCUUCCAGGUUGAAUGUCACAGGUCGUGACAUCACUUCUGGCAGAGACCAUAUACCGAUGGACGGGCCUCUGGCCAAGUCGGAGACUGAUCACCGUCACGCAAGACUAAGUGGAACUUUCAAGAAAGACUACCAGAUUUGUUGAGUUACAUGUGAGGGUUUUGUGAAUUGAUUUAAUCCCCAGUUCAAGCCAUUACAUAUCCAAAAACUU